GACGAAGGAUGCAAGCGUUAUCCGGAUUCAUUGGGUUUAAAGGGAGCGUAGGCGGACUUAUAAGUCAGUGGUGAAAUCUCCUUGCUUAACAAGGAAACUGCCAUUGAUACUGUAGGUCUUGAGUACAGUUGCCGUUGGCGGAAUAUGACAUGUAGUGGUGAAAUACUUAGAUAUGUCAUAGAACACCGAUUGCGAAGGCAGCUAACGAAGCUGUAACUGACGCUGAGGCUCGAAAGUGCGGGGAUCAAACAGG
rnacentral:ncRNA from 3 species